rnacentral:tRNA from 1 species
GCCUGGCUGGCUCAGUUGGUAGAGCAUGCAACUCUUUGGUCUCAGGAUCAUGAGUUCAAGCCCCAUGUUGGGCA